rnacentral:rRNA from 1 species
GAUGAACGCUGGCGGCGUGCCUAAUACAUGCAAGUCGAGCGAACAGACGAGGAGCUUGCUCCUCUGACGUUAGCGGCGGACGUGUGAGUAACACGUGUAUAACCUACCUAUAAUACUGGUAUAACUUCGGGAAACCGGAUCUAAUACCGUAUAAUAUAUUGAACCGCAUGGUUCAAUAGUGAAAUACGGUUUUUCUGUCUCUUAUAGAUGGAUCCGCGCUGCAUUAGCUAGUUGGUAAGGUAACGGCUUACCAAGGCAACGAUGCGUAGCCGACCUGAGAGGGUGAUCGGCCACACUGGAACUGAGACACGGUCCAGACUACUACGGGAGGCAGCAGUAGGGAAUCUUACGCAAUGGGCGAAAGCCUGACGGAGCAACGCCGCGUGAGUGAUGAAGGUCUUCGGAUCGUAAAACUCUGUUAUUAGGGAAGAACAAAUGUGUAAGUAAAUAUGCACGUAUUGACGGUAACUAAUAAGAAAGCCACGGCUAACUACGUG